rnacentral:lncRNA from 1 species
CAGUGGAAAGGUCUGGGGCUGGUAAAUGGCUUAGGCAGAAGGGCAUGCACCGGCCAAACCUAACAGCCUGUCUCUGAACUAUGUCCUCGUCAAGGCUGGGAUGCACGCUGGCUUCUCUACACAGUCUGGCCCAGUGAUUUUCAUUAAGCCAACUCAUACCCAGUUUCUACAAAUGAAAACCAAGUCAAUCAUCUAAAAUUUCAUGAUUUCUUCCCAUCAAGAGGAUCUGGAGUCUUCUGUUCCCAUUAAAACUGAAUUUAUGGCAGUGCAAACCUGGGCCAGACUGGGUAUAAAAUGACAAAAGCAUAUUUAUAUUCUUAAAAAUUUCUGCAGAUUGCAUAGAAAGUUCUCAGAUUUGUGGCUGGGCGCAGUGGCUCAUGCCUGUAAUCCCAGCACUUUGGGAGGCCGAGGCGGGCGGAUCACAAGGUCAGGAGAUCGAGACCAUCUUGGCUAACACGGUGAAACCCCGUCUCUACU